GUCAACCUAGUAUUACCGGGUACUCGUCAUUGCAUCUGUAAGUGGCAUAUCUUACGAGAAGGGCAGGAAAGAUUGGCUCACAUAUAUAUGGCUCAUCCUUCCUUUUAUGGGGAGCUAUAUAGCUGCAUCAACUAUUCUGAGACAAUUGAGGAUUUCGAAUCAUGUUGGACCUCUGUACUUGAUAAAUAUGAUCUGGGGAAAAAUGAGUGGCUUCAAGCUGUAUAUAAUGCUCGUGACCAGUGGGCUCCAGUAUAUUUUCGUGAUACUUUCUUUGCUGCACUUCCG
rnacentral:misc_RNA from 1 species